AUACAUAGGGAGCGAGCGUUGUCCGGAAUUACUGGGCGUAAAGGGCGCGUAGGCGGCGCUUCAAGUCGUCUGUCAAAUGGAAGGGCUUAACCCUUUUUCGCAGACGAAACUGGAGAGCUUGAGAAGCAGAGAGGCAAACAGAAUUCCUGGUGUAGCGGUGAAAUGCGUAGAUAUCAGGAAGAAUACCAGUGGCGAAGGCGGUUUGCUGGCUGCAUACUGACGCUGAAGCGCGAAAGCCAGGGGAGCGAACGGGAUUAGAUACCCCGGUAGUCCACGCCGUAAACGAUGAGCACUAAGUGUCGGAUGAAUUUUCGGCGCUGCAGUUAACACAAUAAGUGCUCCGCCUGGGGAGUACGGUCGCAAGACUGAAACUCAAAGGAAUUGGCGGGG
rnacentral:rRNA from 1 species